rnacentral:lncRNA from 1 species
UAUAAGGAAGAUUUGAGGUGUGUUUGACCAAUGCGACGCUCGUUACAAGAUAGUAAGGACUAGGUUAGUUUGGUAUACUAUUCGCCAUCUUGGAUAUGUCAGAUACAGAAAGCUAUUUUCAUCUUAACAGUCACACUUAUACUGAAUGAGCAGGUUCUACGUAUGGUGAAUUUACUACGCAUCUCCAUAAUUUAUGAUUUAAAGGACUUCAUAGCUAUAUAAGGCCCCCAGAAAGCAGAAAAACAUGGUUGGUAGAUGGUGAGAUCCCAGAGCACCGUUCAACGGCUUUCAGUCCAACUUUGGACAAGGAUACAACGUUGUUAGUUUCAACUGCAAUUUGCCAGAACAUAUUGCCUAGUACUGUCCCGUUUCAGUCCAGCUUUAGAGAAGACAGCCUACC